UCGGCGGGGAAGAAAUCGCAUCUCCUAAUACGGGGUGUGGAUGACGGUACCCGAAUAAGAAGCACCGGCUAACUACGUGCCAGCAGCCGCGGUAAUACGUAGGGUGCGAGCGUUAAUCGGAAUUACUGGGCGUAAAGCGUGCGCAAGCGGUUUUGUAAGACAGGCGUGAAAUCCCCGGGCUCAACCUGGGAACUGCGCUUGUGACUGCAAGGCUAGAGUACGGCAGAGGGGGGUGGAAUUCCACGUGUAGCAGUGAAAUGCGUAGAGAUGUGGAGGAACACCAAUGGCGAAGGCAGCCCCCUGGGUCGAUACUGACGCUCAUGCACGAAAGCGUGGGUAGCAAACAGGAUUAGAUACCCUGGUAGUCCACGCCCUAAACGAUGUCAACUAGGUGUUGGGUGGGUAAAACCAUUUAGUACCGUAGCUAACGCGUGAAGUUGACCGCCUGGGGAGUACGGCCGCAAGGUCAAAACUCAAAGGAAUUGACGGGGACCCGCACAAGCGGUGGAUGAUGUGGAUUAAUUCGAUGCAACGCGAAAAACCUUACCUACCCUUGACAUGUCCAGAAGCCCGGAGAGAUUUGGGUGUGCCCGAAAGGGAACUGGAACACAGGUGCUGCAUGGCUGUCGUCAGCUCGUGUCGUGAGAUGUUGGGUUAAGUCCCGCAACGAGCGCAACCCUUGUCGUUAAUUGCCAUCAUUCAGUUGGGCACUUUAACGAGACUGCCGGUGACAAACCGGAGGAAGGUGGGGAUGACGUCAAGUCCUCAUGGCCCUUAUGGGUAGGGCUUCACACGUCAUACAAUGGUCGGUACAGAGGGUUGCCAAGCCGCGAGGUGGAGCCAAUCCCAGAAAGCCGAUCGUAGUCCGGAUUGCAGGCUGCAACUCGCCUGCAUGAAGUCGGAAUCGCUAGUAAUCGCGGAUCAGCAUGUCGCGGCGAAUACGUUCCCGGGUCUUGUACACACCGCCCGUCACACCAUGGGAGCGGGUUCCGCCAGAAGUAGGUAGCCUAACCGCAAGGGGGGCGCUUACCACGGCGGGGUUCGUGACUGGGGUGAAGUCGUAACAAGGUAGCC
rnacentral:rRNA from 1 species